GACGAACGCUGGCGGCGUGCUUAACACAUGCAAGUCGAACGGAUCACAGGGCUUCGGUUUUGUGGUGAGUGGCGAACGGGUGAGUAACACGUGAGUAACCUGCCCCGAACUUUGGGAUAACGGCUCGAAAGGGCUGCUAAUACCGAAUGUUGAAUCCUUGUCGCAUGGUGGGGGUUUGAAAGUUUUUUCGGUUCGGGAUGGGCUCGCGGCCUAUCAGCUUGUUGGUGGGGUGAUGGCCUACCAAGGCGUCGACGGGUAGCCGGCCUGAGAGGGCGACCGGCCACACUGGGACUGAGAUACGGCCCAGACUCCUACGGGAGGCAGCAGUGGGGAAUAUUGCACAAUGGGCGGAAGCCUGAUGCAGCAACGCCGCGUGCGGGAUGAAGGCCUCGG
rnacentral:rRNA from 1 species